CCUACGGGAGGCAGCAGUGGGGAAUUUUGGACAAUGGGCGCAAGCCUGAUCCAGCAAUGCCGCGUGAGUGAAGAAGGCCUUCGGGUUGUAAAGCUCUUUUGUCAGGGAAGAAACGGUCUACUCUAAUACAGUGGGCUAAUGACGGUACCUGAAGAAUAAGCACCGGCUAACUACGUGCCAGCAGCCGCGGUAAUACGUAGGGUGCAAGCGUUAAUCGGAAUUACUGGGCGUAAAGCGUGCGCAGGCGGUUAUAUAAGUCAGAUGUGAAAUCCCCGGGCUCAACCUGGGAACUGCAUUUGAGACUGUAUGGCUAGAGUGUGUCAGAGGGGGGUAGAAUUCCACGUGUAGCAGUGAAAUGCGUAGAUAUGUGGAGGAAUACCGAUGGCGAAGGCAGCCCCCUGGGAUAACACUGACGCUCAUGCACGAAAGCGUGGGGAGCAAACAGGAUUAGAUACCCUGGUAGUCCACGCCCUAAACGAUGUCUACUAGUUGUCGGGACUUAAUUGCCUUGGUAACGCAGCUAACGCGUGAAGUAGACCGCCUGGGGAGUACGGUCGCAAGAUUAAAACCGUUAANAAGUAGUAGUACGGACGNGAGAGAGACGACGACGACGACGACGGAGGGAGGAGG
rnacentral:rRNA from 1 species